rnacentral:rRNA from 1 species
AGACCCGAAACCCGGUGAUCUAGCCAUGGGCAGGUUGAAGGUUGGGUAACACUAACUGGAGGACCGAACCGACUAAUGUUGAAAAAUUAGCGGAUGACCUGUGGCUGGGGGUGAAAGGCCAAUCAAACCGGGAGAUAGCUGGUUCUCCCCGAAAGCUAUUUAGGUAGCGCCUCGUGAAUUCAUCUCCGGGGGUAGAGCACUGUUUCGGCUAGGGGGCCAUCCCGGCUUACCAACCCGAUGCAAACUGCGAAUACCGGAGAAUGUUAUCACGGGAGACACACGGCGGGUGCUAACGUCCGUCGUGAAGAGGGAAACAACCCAGACCGCCAGCUAAGGUCCCAAAGUCAUGGUUAAGUGGGAAACGAUGUGGGAAGGCCCAGACAGCCAGGAUGUUGGCUUAGAAGCAGCCAUCAUUUAAAGAAAGCGUAAUAGCUCACUGGUCGAGUCGGCCUGCGCGGAAGAUGUAACGGGGCUAAACCAUGCACCGAAGCUGCGGCAGCGACACUCAGGUGUUGUUGGGUAGGGGAGCGUUCUGUAAGCCUGUGAAGGUGUGUCGUGAGGCAUGCUGGAGGUAUCAGAAGUGCGAAUGCUGACAUAAGUAACGAUAAAGCGGGUGAAAAGCCCGCUCGCCGGAAGACCAAGGGUUCCUGUCCAACGUUAAUCGGGGCAGGGUGAGUCGACCCCUAAGGCGAGGCCGAAAGGCGUAGUCGAUGGGAAACGGGUUAAUAUUCCCGUACUUGGUGUUACUGCGAAGGGGGGACGGAGAAGGCUAUGUUGGCCGGGCGACGGUUGUCCCGGUUUAAGCGUGUAGGUGUGUGUUCCAGGUAAAUCCGGUUCACUUUAACACUGAGGCGUGAUGACGAGGCACUACGGUGCUGAAGCAACAAAUGCCCUGCUUCCAGGAAAAGCCUCUAAGCAUCAGGUAACAUCAAAUCGUACCCCAAACCGACACAGGUGGUCAGGUAGAGAAUACCAAGGCGCUUGAGAGAACUCGGGUGAAGGAACUAGGCAAAAUGGUGCCGUAACUUCGGGAGAAGGCACGCUGACACGUAGGUGAAGUGAUUUACUCAUGGAGCUGAAGUCAGUCGAAGAUACCAGCUGGCUGCAACUGUUUAUUAAAAACACAGCACUGUGCAAACACGAAAGUGGACGUAUACGGUGUGACGCCUGCCCGGUGCCGGAAGGUUAAUUGAUGGGGUCAGCGCAAGCGAAGCUCCUGAUCGAAGCCCCGGUAAACGGCGGCCGUAACUAUAACGGUCCUAAGGUAGCGAAAUUCCUUGUCGGGUAAGUUCCGACCUGCACGAAUGGCGUAAUGAUGGCCAGGCUGUCUCCACCCGAGACUCAGUGAAAUUGAACUCGCUGUGAAGAUGCAGUGUACCCGCGGCAAGACGGAAAGACCCCGUGAACCUUUACUAUAGCUUGACACUGAACAUUGAGCCUUGAUGUGUAGGAUAGGUGGGAGGCUUUGAAGCGUGGACGCCAGUCUGCGUGGAGCCGACCUUGAAAUACCACCCUUUAAUGUUUGAUGUUCUAACGUGGACCCGUGAUCCGGGUUGCGGACAGUGUCUGGUGGGUAGUUUGACUGGGGCGGUCUCCUCCUAAAGAGUAACGGAGGAGCACGAAGGUUGGCUAAUCCUGGUCGGACAUCAGGAGGUUAGUGCAAUGGCAUAAGCCAGCUUGACUGCGAGCGUGACGGCGCGAGCAGGUGCGAAAGCAGGUCAUAGUGAUCCGGUGGUUCUGAAUGGAAGGGCCAUCGCUCAACGGAUAAAAGGUACUCCGGGGAUAACAGGCUGAUACCGCCCAAGAGUUCAUAUCGACGGCGGUGUUUGGCACCUCGAUGUCGGCUCAUCACAUCCUGGGGCUGAAGUAGGUCCCAAGGGUAUGGCUGUUCGCCAUUUAAAGUGGUACGCGAGCUGGGUUUAGAACGUCGUGAGACAGUUCGGUCCCUAUCUGCCGUGGGCGCUGGAGAACUGAGGGGGGCUGCUCCUAGUACGAGAGGACCGGAGUGGACGCAUCACUGGUGUUCGGGUUGUCAUGCCAAUGGCACUGCCCGGUAGCUAAAUGCGGAAGAGAUAAGUGCUGAAAGCAUCUAAGCACGAAACUUGCCCCGAGAUGAGUUCUCCCUGAGACUUAGAGUCUCCUGAAGGAACGUUGAAGACGACGACGUUGAUAGGCCGGGUGUGUAAGCGCAGCGAUGCGUUGAGCUAACCGGUACUAAUGAACCGUGAGGCUUAACCUUACAA